AGAGUUUGAUCCUGGCUCAGGAUGAACGCUGGCGGCGUGCCUAACACAUGCAAGUUGAACGAAGCGCUUACAACUAAAUCCUUCGGGAGGAAGAAGUAAGUGACUUAGUGGCGGACGGGUGAGUAACGCGUGGGCAACCUGCCCUGUACAGGGGGACAACAGCCGGAAACAGCUGCUAAUACCCCAUAAGCGCACAGUAACGCAUGUUACAGUGUGAAAAGCCGAGACGGUACAGGAUGGGCCCGCGUCUGAUUAGAUAGUUGGUGGGGUAGAGGCCUACCAAGUCAGCGAUCAGUAGCCGGCCUGAGAGGGUGAACGGCCACAUUGGAACUGAGACACGGUCCAGACUCCUACGGGAGGCAGCAGUGGGGAAUAUUGCACAAUGGGGGAAACCCUGAUGCAGCGACGCCGCGUGAAGGAAGAAGUAUUUCGGUAUGUAAACUUCUAUCAGCAGGGAAGAAAAAGACGGUACCUGACUAAGAAGUCCCGGCUAACUACGUG
rnacentral:rRNA from 1 species